UGAAGUCUUCAUAUUUCCUAAUUACUUUACAGGCCUUUUGGUUUAGUGAGCCAUAAAGAACACCGAAUCUCCAUUCCACACUGCACACACUUUUUCUCUAGAUCAAAGUGAAAUUACUUUCAAGAUGAACUCUCUAUAAUCCAUUAUUUCAUAGGCCACAUUUAAUGAAAUCAUUAACCAAUGUUCAGUGUCGUCCUUCUCUUUGUUGUUGUAGUGAAACUCCAGGAGGCUUAAGAUUAAUAUUCACCGUCUAAUUAACCCUUGAGAUGAUCUUCAAGGCAGUCGUCCAGUUUGAGCUUCUCAAGGUUUUCUGAGUUACUAAAACCAGUGGGCUGAGUAGAUUUGAAGACCUGGUUUUGUUUGCCUUGCAACACUGGAUGGGCAGGUGCCACUUGGUCCAAUAUUAGUGUGGUCUGGCCUGAGUCUCUAAUGGAUAAGGCACAGAAAGAUCCGGAAGCUGAGCGAAGCCUGCGCGACCGAGCGGGGCGGUGCAAGCUUGCGGAACCUUCAUCGACGAGGUCGGCGCUGCGAAGGGAACCAGUCCAGGGCGGGACGAGAGGCUUUUGCAGCCCAGCUGGUUCCGGCUGGGGAAGAUGGCGGUGGCUGGGGCGGCGUACCGGGAGCCGCUAGUACACUGGUGCACACAGCAGUUGCAAAAAACUUUCGCCCUGGAUGUCAGCGAGGAAAUCAUACAAUAUGUUUUGUCAAUUGAGAAUGCUGAAGAAAUACGAGAAUAUGUGACAGACCUUCUCCAGGGAAAUGAGGGCAAAAAGGGUCAAUUCAUAGAAGAUCUUAUAACCAAAUGGCAAAAGAAUGAUCAAGAGUUCAUCUCUGAUUCCUUUCAACAGUGCUUGAGAAAAGAUGAAAUUUUAGAUGGACAGAGAUCAGUGGACCAGCUAAAGCGGAGUAGGAGGAAAGGACGAAACAAACAGGAAGUUCCUGCAUUUCCUGAACCUGACGUAGCUGUGGAGGUCAAAACACCUUUAGAUUUGGCUAAGGCACAAGAAAGCAACAACUCCGUAAAGAAGAAGACAAGAUUUGUCAAUUUAUAUACAAGAGAGGGACAGGACAAACUUGCAGUCCUGCUUCCUGGUCGUCACCCGUGUGAUUGCCUGGGCCAGAAGCACAAACUCAUCAAUAACUGUCUGGUCUGUGGGCGGAUCGUUUGUGAGCAGGAGGGUUCAGGCCCCUGCUUGUUCUGUGGCUCUUUGGUGUGUACUAAUGAAGAACAGGAUAUUUUACAGCGGGACUCAAACAAAAGUCAGAAACUGCUGAAGAAGCUCAUGUCAGGGGCAGAGACUUCUGGAAAGGUGGACGUCUCUACCAAGGACCUACUUCCUCAUCAAGAAUCCCGAAUGAAGUCUGGUUUGGAGAAGGCUAUCAAGCAUAAGGAAAAACUGUUAGAGUUCGACAGAACGAGUAUCCGAAGGACCCAAGUUAUUGACGAUGAAUCAGAUUACUUUGCCAGUGAUUCUAACCAGUGGCUGUCCAAAGUUGAGCGAGAAAUGCUGCAGAAACGAGAGGAGGAGCUGAGAGAACUCCGACAUGCCUCCAGACUUUCUAAGAAAGUGACCAUUGACUUCGCGGGGCGGAAGAUCCUAGAAGAUGAAAAUCCACUAGCAGAGUAUCACAGCAGACUAGAUGAGACAAUACAAGCCAUUGCCAGUGGGACUUUGAACCAGUCACUGGUCACGUUGGAUAGAUCUUGUGAAGAGCCUUUGGGAGUUCUGGUAAACCCUAACAUGUACCAGGCCUCUCCUCAGUGGGUUGACAACACUGGCUCAACCCCACAGAAGAAGACUUCACUCUCGGCAGGACCAAGACUAGAGCCCAGUUUACAUCAGCACCAGCUGCGAAUCCAGGACCAAGAAUUCCAGGAAGGCUUUGAUGGCGGCUGGUGCCUGUCUAUGCAUCAGCCCUGGGCUUCUCUGCUUGUCAGGGGGAUUAAAAGUGCUAGACAUCAAAUUCAAGAGCGUGUCUGUGCUAGAUAAGCACUGCACCACUGAGCACAUUUCCAGCCCAGCCAGCCUUUGAGGGACCUCAGACUUCCCAGAAUCCUCCUUUGGCCUUGGAGAGUGGCAUUAAAAGCAUGUACCACCAUACUCCAAUCCAAGGUGUAUUGUGUUUCUUCUUAAUUCAUUUUUUUUAAAGCUUUAUUUAUUUUAUUUGAGUACACUGUAGCUGUCUUCAGACACCCCAGAAGAGGGCAUCAGAUCCCAUUACAAAUGGUUGUGAGCCACUGCGUGGUUGCUGGGAAUUGAACUCAAGAGUCAGUGUUCUUAACUACCGAGCCAUCUCUCUGGCCCUUAAUUCAUAUUUUAAAUUUCCCUUUUCUUAACUUGUAUUCAUGAAAAUAUAAGAUUAUAAAUGAAAAACAAUAAAUAGAAAAAGAUCAUACAUACUCUCACUCCCUAGAAACAGUUAUUAGCUAUUAGCUGCUUUAGUACUUUUGGAAUGCUUGUUUGUUCCUUUCUUUUUUUUCUUUUCUUCUUUUCUUUUUUUUUUUUCGACAUACAGUUUGUCUGGAACUCAAUACUAAGUAGACCAGACUGGGCUCAAACUUGAAUUCAUAGAGAUCUGCCUUCCUCUGCCUCCUGAGUGCUGGGAUUAAAGGCAUGUAUCACCAUGCCUGGCCUGGAAUGUUUCUUUCUGUUGGUUCUCCUAUGUGAAUAAUCACAUAUUGAGAUCAUGUUAUAUAUUUUUGUUUGGGUUUUUCAUUUCACUUAUUAUUACAUCAGAUGCUCAUUUUCCCCUUCCUUUUACCUCCUCAAAUUUUAUAUGCCUGUGUGUGUAUAUAUCCUAAUAUAUAUAUAAAAUAGGAUUUUAGUUUCUAAAGGAGCAGCUGUGUAGCCCAGGCUAUCACUUCACAGUUGACAAGUGCAAACAGUGAGGCAGGCAAAGGUAAGCUAGACUGCUCUGAAUUACAGAGCUAGACUUUAUGUCUUCAAAGUACUCAUGCACUAGACUGUGUGGGCAUCAGGCCUUUCUCUACUUGUUGGAAAGAAAAUAUAUCAACAUUUAGAAACAGUCAUUUGCACCACACAGGUUUUGCUGUUAACUGUCAUUUCCUUCCAUCAUUUACUAAGGUGUAUCAACUAUCUCCCCCGACCCCGACCCCCCCCCCAAAAGGUCAUGCUUUCAUGUUUGGCUCUGUUGCUUCACAGCCACGUGUGCAGUGCUGUACUUGUUAAUACCAAGCAAUAGGACUCUGCUUCUUUUCCAGGGCAUCUGAGCCCUCAGUGUGUGUUCUCAUUCCCUUCACAUUUUUUCUCUUCUUUUUCCAAAGUAGGAGAUGAAACAGCAUGCUCUCCUCGGCUUCGGGAGUCAGAAUGCUCUUGUUUCUCUCCUCCUCUUUAGGAUCUGGGUUACUCAUCCUUUCUCACUGAAAAGAGGAGGAUGAGAAGCAUCUGUCACAUCAUUAACCCUACAGGAGUCAGUGAGUCGUGCUUUCACACCUGGGGGACCAUUUUUUCAGCAAAUCUUCAAGUUAUUUGACCAGAGGGAACCAUACAAUUUGUUCAUUCCGCAUACUGGUUACACACAGUGUAUCUGACAUUCUUUUAAUUCACCUAUGUUGGAAAACUAAGAAUUUGAACAUUUCACAGCCCUAUUUCCUGUUAUAAGAAUGAGAUGGCAGUAAAGGAACUUGUUACCAAGACUAACAAACUGAGUUUGAUCCCCAGAGCCCAUAUGGUAGAAGAAGAGAACCAACUCCCCAGAAUUAUCCUCUGACUUCCAUAUGUAUGCAUACACAUAUGCAUGCACUUAUGUAAAUAAAUGUAUGUCAAGAAGGGAGGGGAUAUAUAGAGAUAGAUCAGUGGCUAAAAUCCUUUCUGUACUUCCAGAUGACCCAAGAUAGGAUCUCAGAACAAAUGACAAAUGGCUCAGAGCCCUCUGUUGACUCUGACACAUUCUUUUGGGCUCUGAGAACAUAUGUAGCAUAUACCUGCAUAUACAUACAGACAUACAUUUAGGAUCUAGGGUCUCAUUAGAUAUCCCUGCCUGGCUUGGAACUCAUUAUGUAGCCUAGGCUGGCCUCAAAUUCACAGAUAAUCACUUGCUUCUGUCAAGUGCUGGGGUUAAUGGUGUGUGCCACCACACCAGGCCCCUGACAACAUAAGCAACUCCUGCCAGUUAUAUUCUAGCCUUUCUAGAAAUGCCAUGCCUCAUAUGUGCCCUUCCUACAAAUACAUGCAACAACUUAAUUAUAAAUGUAAAUUAUAGAAGUCCCAAGACAAGUGACAGUUCCCUGUUUGAGUUACAGAGAUCUGGUGGCCAGUAGGAGUUGAGAGAAAUGACUGGUGGUGGUGACAACAGGAAAGAGAAUGGGAGGGUUCAGGUCAGCUAAGGGAAGGGUGUCGCUGAGGUGUCUUCUUCAGGUCUCUUGAUCCAGUUGGAUAAUUUGCUGCAGAAUUGUAAUCUAUUAGGAAAUCUUCAAGGAAAUUAGAGUUUAGAUCUCUCCCAUGGAAUUUGAUUUUGUUUAAGGGUGGAGGGCAGAUCCUGGUAUACUCCUCACAGAGGAAGACUUUGGAUAGCAGCCACGGGCAAAAGACCUUCCCCUCAGGAAGUCUCAGAACUCCAGGCUACCUAUCGUCUUCUUCGUGGGAAAGAUGUGGAGUUUCCAAAUGACUAUCCGUCGGGUUGUCUUCUGGGCUGUGUGGACCUUAUUGAUUGCUUGUCCCAGAAACAAUUUCAGGAGCAGUUCCCAGACAUCAGUCAAGAGUCUGACUCUUCAUUUGUUUUCAUCUGCAAAAAUCCCCAGGAAAUGGUUGUGAAGUUCCCUAUUAAAGGAAAUCCUAAAAUCUGGAAACUGGAUUCCAAGAUCCAUCAAGGAGCAAAGAAGGGGUUAAUGAAGCAGAAUAAAGCUGUCUGACCCAGGAAAAAAGGAACUAUACAACAUAGUGGAGUCUUGUGUACUAAAGUGCUAUCCGCUGGGCCUUUGGGAUUGAAGCAGUAGAAAGCGAAAAGGCUGGGCACCAGGCUUCAAUCUCUGAGAAUCUAAACUCUUACCAAAUCUGUGUAUUUUUCUUAAAGGAUGGAAUUCUUUAUGAAGUGGGUUACAGAUCUUUGAAUAUGUUAUUUAUAAAAAAAUCAUUUUAAAAAUUCUAGGUCAUUUUUCUCAGAACUAAAUUCAAAACAGGAAGGAACAAAUUGGAAAUUAUUUUCCUCAGUGAGAUUUGUAUUUUGAAUUAGGAAAAUCUCAACAUAGAUUAACAUUUUUACAAGAGACUCUGAAUUUAAUUUUUUUUCUCAAAAUAAUAGAAUGGAGACUACUAGGAUGUCUGAGGAAUCUUUGUUUAACAUAAGCCUAUGGUGAAAUGAGAAUGUUCUUACCAAGUGUUCUGCUUUUGACAUCUUGAGACCAGGCCACAUUCUGUGACCCAGGCUUGCCUGGAACUCACAACAAUCCUCCUGCCGAAGCCUCUCAAGUGCUGUGUUUACAGGCCAGUAGCCCCAUGCUCAGCUUCUAACCCAAAUCUCUCAGAGUGGAAAGCUAGAAUUCCCAGUAUCAGCAGAUUUUUUUUUCUUUCUUUUUGGAAAAGGUAACAUGAAGACAUACUUCCUUUUGUUCUUUAGUUUGAGAACAUGGGUUAGUCUGGGAAGUGAGGGAGCUACCUGCUAAUGCAGCCUGAAGCUGCCCUGUUUAUUUUGUUAGUGUUGCAAAAGCAUCAUGUAGAUGGGACAAUUAGAGAAAAACUUGAAAAUACGAUCCUUUGGUAAAUACAUCAGAAAGCCCUCUAAUGCUGAAAACAAGCCCCUUUAAACCUAUAAAUAUCCUAAAAAAGCCAUUACUGGAAAAAUAAGGUUGGUUUGAAGUGAGAUUUUUCACUGGUCCCUUUAGCCCUUCUCAGGAAGCACUUGUUUCUGAGGCUCUUCUAAAGUGCUAUUGGAAUCUCAGUUGCUGGAGCCUAGGAAAUUCAUGGUCUCAAAUGUGUGUGCUCUGCUUUUUAUAAAACACCACUACCACACUAGGGAUGUUGGACUCCCUCCAACAGUUUGUGUGCUUGACUUAAAAAAGAAAGAGCAAGUGAGAAAGAAAAAAAAGUACCUUGUGUUAUGAAAAAGAUUAAUUUCCCUUUCUUUAAUCCUUCAUAUUCAGCAUUUAUUUGCAUUGAAAUGCCUCCACUCAUUCCACAUUGAUGUUCACUCGACUGUGAACUGCCUGUUGCAUAGCAUUGGUUCUUCGGAGGCUGAUCACUCUGGAUUCCCAGGGAAACCCGAACAGAUUCUUGUUCCAGUGAUGUACACAUGCAGUAUUCUCUCUCGUGUUCUGUUGGACCUCUGUGUAUAAAGUGGAAGAGGACAGUUAGUGGCAUUUAUUAUUGUGAGAGAUGUCUUUUUGACCUCUUGGAAACCUUACCAUUGUUGAAAGCAAAACUGUGUUUACUAUGUAGUUAAUAGUUUACCAAGUAGUAGCACCUUGAAUUCCAUGCUGAAAUUGUCUGGCUUUCUUAAUAUCACAAUAAAAUUGAAAGGUAGGAUGGGAAGAGAAAAGAAGGGGUUGGAAGUUCUCUGUUCUUUUAUUUGAAGACAGCCUUUACACAGAAGAGUAUGGAUUGUUUUUUCUAUGUGGGUAAUUUGAAUGCACACCUUAAAAGAAAAAAGUCAGGAAUGUCAACAGAUGAGCUCAUCUGCCCGAGCUUUGCAAGUUUCUAAGAACCCACCUCAGCUUCUCAAACACACAGCCAGAACCACAUAAAUAAAUGGCAGAGCUACUCGGAAACUUCUCCUUUUCAUGGUUAGGCUGGGAAAGUCUGUCUUUGGUUUACAUGGCAGUGGUAGUAUAAGGUCUCUCUUCUGUUUGCUGAGACACAAGGGAGGAAGUGUGGGAGAAGUUUGCGGGUAGAUGGCCCUCAGUUGCUCACUGAUGAAUAGUAUACUUUAAAGUCAGAUGGAAAUUCUUAGUAGCCUGAGUUCAAGCUUGUCCAAGAAUAGCUUGUUAGUGUAUUAUGACACUUCACUCUGACCCUGUUACUCUGGGGCAGUUUCGCCUAAGAAAGUUCUGAAUUUCCGAGAUGCCUUUUUGUUGUAGCUUCUGUGUUCCCUUUUGAAUGACUGAAUUAAGAUGCCAUUAAUUCAUACAGUAAAGGAAUUGGCUUUUUCUUUUUGUUUUUCCCAGACAAGACUCAGUUUCCUUUGUAUGAGCUCACAGUAGGGAAUGAUGGAAACUAUGGGCUUUGUCAGCGUUGAUGAGACCUUAUCUUUAGUGAAGUGUUUAGAAUAGAUUAAGAAUUUGGCCAGAUGUGAUAGUAUACACCUUAAUCCCAGCACUGGGGAGGCUGAUCUCUUACUAUCUCUUAUAUAGUAAGUCCCUAUCACAAAGGAGAACAUAAAAAGAAUUUGGGUUUUUGUUGCUUCUUUAGCUAAUACAGAACUAAGAUAAUAAAGAACUAAGUGUCCUAUCUUUUCUUUUUAAACUGAAAUUUUAGUGUAAACCUAUUUUCCCCCUAGCAUGUAAAUGUGAGACACUACAGAGAUUAGUUUUACAAAUAAGUAUAGCUAUGGACUUAUAUGAUUAUGACAUUUAAUUUUUUUCCAUUUUAAUUACUGUCUCUCCUAUAACCCAUUCAUGUGGUGGCCAUUUAAUUUAGAAGAUUUGUUUAAUGUUGUGUGGGGCCUAGCCAAGAUUAGAUGGCAUGGGGCUGUUCACUUGACCAGCUCAGCUACUAAACUAGAGAAAUCAGCUAACUUCAGUUUGUUAGGCUGGGAGGAGGGAAGGCAAUCCAGAGAGAAAGGAUAUUUUCUUCCUUGCGAUUCAAAUAGCAAGCACACAUCUGCUAUUCUCAGUGUCUGUGAAUGUGUUUGGGAGGAGGUGAUCCACAUGGAAGGCUCCAACAGCAACAAGGGAUCCAUGCAGCCUGCAGAGAGCUUUUCUACUUUUCGCCUGUAGAGGAAAAAGAACAGUACCAUCCUACGUCACAAUGAACUUGGAUAAACGUCCAUUUGCAUGUGUGAAUACAAUGUGGCUUCAUUCAGGAGAUGAAAUGUAAAUUGAUCAGAUGUUGAAUUUCAGUUGUGAAAAUGGGAAAACCCAGAAAGAAAUCCCAGUAAAAAAAUACCAGAGAUUGGAGUCAGGGAAAAAGGAGGGUGCAGGGGUGGGGUGGGGUGGUGGGGGAGGUGCCUAAAUCCACAGAUGUGUCAGAAAAGAAGACCUGGGCAUGAAGAGAAAAGCACAUCACUGCGUAAGACUUCAGAAGAGUCUAGUCAGGCAUGGUGGUUGUAUGCCUUUAGUCCUAGCAUUUGGGAGGCAGAAGCAGGUGGAUCUCUAGGGUAGUGCUGCCUAAUAUGGUAACCACUGGCCACAUGCUGUUUAAAUAUGAAUUAAUAUUUAAAAAGCCGGGCGUGGUGGCGCACGCCUUUAAUCCCAGCACUCGAGAGGCAGAGGCAGGCGGAUUUCUGAGUUCAAGGCCAGCCUGGUCUACAAAGUGAGUUCCAGGACAGCCAGGGCUAUACAGAAAAACCCUGUCUCGAAAAACCAAAAAAAAAAAAAAAAAAAAAAAAAAAAAAAAAGAAUUAAAAUUUAAGUAAAGACUCAGUUCUUCAGUCAUCCUACCUUGAGUGCCCUAGUAGCUCAUAUGUGGCUAGAGACUUCUGAACAGCAGGGGGCAGGGGUUAGCAAAGUCAUUCCAAUUCCAUAAGGGUCAGACAGCAAAUGGCUUUGGUUUUAUAAACCAUUCAGCUGUGCUGUGGUACUGCAAAUACACCCAUAGAUAAUGUGAGCAAGAAAGCUUGGCUACAGCCAGGGAAACUGUUUGUAGACACUUUUUUGAGACAGUCUGUGUAACCCAGUUCAAGCCCAGGCCUAGCCUUAAGUUUUAGAUCUCUAGCGUCAAGCUCCCAAGUGCUGGAGUCUGUACCACCACACCAGAUUCUUAUAACUUUUGUGUUGUAAAAUAUCUUCUUUUAUUUAAAUAUUGUUAAAAUGUAAAAAUUAGUUUUUAACUUACAGGAUUUACCAAAACGUGGUAGUGAAUCUGAUUUGUUCUUUGGGCUACUAGUUUGCCAAUUCUUGCUCUCGAGAUACAAGAAGUCAAAACUUGAGAUUCUCUUACUGUCUUAUACAUUAGAUCCUUGUCUUUAGUCAGAGUCAGCUAACUGUGAUUAAAAGCUAAGUAGAACUGUUUCCUUGUCCCCUAACUGUUUUAGUCUAGUGCUACAAUGUUUAACCCUUCAUUAAAUCACAGAGAUAUGGAACACUAAACCCUGUUUUUCCUUUCUGUUUAAGCCCUCAUUUUGUAAUAUAGAGUAUAGAUUGGUAAGUUGGCCGCCACUCUGAGUCAUCAGUUCUGUCCCUUUACUAUCCAAUAAAACUAUCUAUGGACCAA